ACUAUUUGUAAUGAUGUCUGCAUCAUUCCACAGUGAAGAUGAUUCAAAAUUGAUGUGGCUUGGAUUUUGUGAAGGAAUAUUCUUGGAAGUUAAGGGUGGAAAUUGAGAUGUGGAUGUGGGAGAGGUGGCUGGCCGCCGGCCAGAUUCAUACAUGUAAUUGAUCGAGAAUUUUAGGUUAAAAAUAUUUAUUUAAAUGGCGAGAUUCAUAUUGGC
rnacentral:lncRNA from 1 species